rnacentral:sRNA from 1 species
UGUUAUCGUCUAUGAAGGCCCACCAACA